AGCAGCCGCGGUAAUUCCAGCUCCAAUAGCGUAUAUUAAAGUUGUUGCAGUUAAAAAGCUCGUAGUUGAAUUUUGGAUUCUGCCAAUUGGUCCAUCUUUUAGAUGAGUACUGGUUGUGUGGGGUCUAUCCGCCUGGUGAUACGUAAUGUCCUUUAUUGGAUGUUGCGGGUAGUCAGGACCUUUACCUUGAAAAAAUUAGAGUGUUUAAAGCAGGCUUAUGCCGGAAUACAUUAGCAUGGAAUAAUAGAAUAGGACGAAGUUGUUUUAUUUUGUUGGUUUCUAGGACAACCGUAAUGAUUAAUAGGGAUAGUUGGGGGCAUUAGUAUUCAAUUGUCAGAGGUGAAAUUCUUGGAUUUAUUGAAGACUAACUACUGCGAAAGCAUUUGCCAAGGAUGUUUUCAUUAAUCAAGAACGAAAGUUAGGGGAUCGAAGACGAUCAGAUACCGUCGUAGUCUUAACCAUAAACUAUGCCGACUAGGGAUCGGGCGAUGUUGUUUCCAUGACUCGCUCGGCACCUUAU
rnacentral:ncRNA from 2 species